CCUACGGGGGGCAGCAGUGAGGAAUAUUGGUCAAUGGACGGAAGUCUGAACCAGCCAAGCCGCGUGAAGGAAGACGGCACUAUGAGUUGUAAACUGCUUUUGUACAAGGAUAAACCUGAAUACGUGUAUUCAGCUGAAAGUACUGUACGAAAAAGGAUCGGCUAACUCCGUGCCAGCAGCCGCGGUAAUACGGAGGAUCCAAGCGUUAUCCGGAUUUAUUGGGUUUAAAGGGUGCGUAGGCGGAUUGAUAAGUUAGCGGUGAAAUGUCCGGGCUUAACUCGGGAACUGCCUUUAAUACUGUUGAUAUAGAGAGUAGGAGCGGUAGGCGGAAUGUGUGGUGUAGCGGUGAAAUGCUUAGAGAUCAUGCAGAACACCGAUUGCGAAGGCAGCUUACCAAUCUCUCUCUGACGCUGAGGCACGAAAGCGUGGGGAGCAAACAGGAUUAGAUACCCCAGUAGUC
rnacentral:rRNA from 1 species